rnacentral:lncRNA from 1 species
AGAGAGAGAAAGUGGAGAAAGAAAUCUUCGUAUCCUUCAGAUGAGGCAAUCAUGGUCGAGACCAUCAGAGGUCCUAUCAGGGUGACUUAAAAUGAAUCAAGUGUUACAAUUUCGAAUAGAAUCGGACUGGGAUCAGAUCUACCGCACGAAUUUCGGAGCAAUCUCAAAUCAUCAUAUUUUUAUUUCAAAUUUAUCCUAGGGUCUGUGAUGAAAUCAGAGAGAGAGAAAGACUCUAGAGAGACAAAAUUCAUAAAUAGAGAGAAAAAGCUAGAGAGAGAAAAUAUNNNNNNNNNNNNNNNNNNNNUCCUCCAACAGCAGCCGACGGCGACGCAUCCACAGCCCCGGUGACAGCCCCAACGGUGGCCGUUGCCGGUGGCAUGCGGGGGAAACAAAAAUAGAACAGGGAUGACCCUGUUCUUCUUAAAUUCGGCGGCUUGCCGUCACUCUCCGGUGAAGAAAAGACAACCAAAAAGAAAAAAGAGGAGG